rnacentral:rRNA from 1 species
GGAGUUUGGGCCGUGUCUCAGUCCCAAUAUGGCCGUUCAUCCUCUCAGACCGGCUACUGAUCGUCGCCUUGGUGAGCCGUUACCUCACCAACUAGCUAAUCAGACGCAGACCCAUCUUUAAGUGGUAGCUUAUAUAUAGAGGCCACCUUUAACAGCUCCUUCAUGCAAAAGUGCUGCUUCAUUCGGUAUUAGCAAAUCUUUCGAUCUGUUGUCCCCAUCUCAAAGGCAGGUUGUCUACGCGUUACUCAUCCGUUUGCCACUAGGUUCCAUAAAAGCAAGCUUAAAUAAAACCCCGUUCGACUUGCAUGUGUUAAGCACGCCGCCAGCGUUGUCCUCGAGCCACUGAUCAAACUACU